rnacentral:rRNA from 1 species
ACACUCCUACGGGAGGCAGCAGUGAGUAAUAUUGGUCAAUGGACGAGAGUCUGAACCAGCCAAGUAGCGUGAAGGAUGACUGCCCUAUGGGUUGUACACUUCUUUUAUAUGGGAAUAAACUGUUCCACGUGUGGGAUUUUGUAUGUACCAUAUGAAUAAGGAUCGGCUAACUCCGUGCCAGCAGCCGCGGUAAUACGGAGGAUCCGAGCGUUAUCCGGAUUUAUUGGGUUUAAAGGGAGCGUAGGUGGAUUGUUAAGUCAUGUGUGAUAGUUUGCGGCUCAACCGUAAAAUUGCAGUUGUA